CCAGACUCCUACGGGAGGCAGCAGUGGGGAAUAUUGCACAAUGGGGGGAACCCUGAUGCAGCGACGCCGCGUGGGUGAAGGAGUAUUUCGGUAUGUAAAGCCCUAUCAGCAGGGAAGAACAAUGACGGUACCUGACUAAGAAGCCCCGGCUAACUACGUGCCAGCAGCCGCGGUAAUACGUAGGGGGCAGGCGUUAUCCGGAUUCACUGGGUGUAAAGGGAGCGUAGGCGGCGACGCAAGUCUGGAGUGAAAGCCCGGGGCCCAACCCCGGGACUGCUCUGGAAACUGCGGCGCUGGAGUACGGGAGGGGCAGGCGGAAUUCCUGGUGUAGCGGUGAAAUGCGUAGAUAUCAGGAGGAACACCGGUGGCGAAGGCGGCCUGCUGGACUGCAACUGACGUUGAGGCCCGAAAGCGUGGGGAGCAAACAGGAUUAGAUACCCUCGUAC
rnacentral:rRNA from 1 species